UAAAUACUUCCUUCGUCUCAAAAUUUUUGUCUUAGAUUUGUCUAGAUAUGGAUGUAUUAAGUCAUAUUUUAGUAUUAGAUAUAUUCGUAUCUAGAAAAAUCUAAGACAAGAAAUUUGGGAGAGAGGGAGUAAAAG
rnacentral:pre_miRNA from 1 species